GGAGAUGAACACAGCAUGGCCUCCUCCUGCUGUCCUCUGCAUGCUUCAGGGGUUUAAAUUGGGUUUGCUAAAGCCUUAGGGUGACGGACUGAAACUUUAAAACAAAUUAUUUAGUUAUAAUGUCCUUAAUAUUUAAGUUAGUUGCUUUAACUUAUUUCUUUAUGCGUUAAUGCAAAAGUUAUUAACUCAGAGAUGGAGUUCAGUAGGACAAGAUUUAACCUUUCAUAGAAAAGCGCAGUGAAGUUUUCAAAUAUGAGUUUAGAACAAUGUCCUUACUGUGGAAAGCCCUUCAAAAGGCUGAAAUCUCACCUUCCUCAUUGCAAAAUGGCACCAUUUGCUCAAGCAAUGAAAAGCACCCAAACACCCCAAGAUCUUCCCGAGAAGAAUGCAAUCUCUUCUAAACAGAAGUUCAAUAAAAAGAUAUUAACAGAGAAGAAUCAUUUAAUCUUUGAUGACAGGCAGACUUCCAUCGACAGGAGGAAAGAGGAGUUGAUUGUAAAUAAAAAGUCUGUUCACAAUGCAGAAAACUCUAUAGCAACUACUGAAGUCACAUCAUUUGUGAAUACAGAGAGGCCUCAGAGCAAAUGGUCUGCUAAAAGACGUAAGGAACAUGAGAGAUUGGAGCAGUUGGCAGUCUUACAGAAGUCAAUCAACUAUACCUCAGUAUCAGAUCAUGAAAGAGAUAAAAGCUUUCAUCAGAUGUCUAAUGGACAAGAAAAGGGAGCAUCUCAAACUAAUGGAACGCCUACUAAAGCCAAAAAGAAGAUAAAAAUGGCACCGUUAUCAGAGCCUUUUUCCAUCGCUAGAGUACAACCACCAUGCCAGCCAUUUUAAAAUCCCCAAACCUUUCAUCCGAGUGGAGUUUGUGCGGCGAGAAUCCAAAGUUUACAGUCAUGGCGGAAAUUGAACCAAACACACAGAGCAUUGAUCUCAAUCUGGUAUCAAGAGUAGAAGAACUCAAAGCUCUGACUUUCUUUACAUCCAAGACUUCAGUGUGGGAUCACAUCAAAGGCAGCUUGUAUUAUAAGAGGUCUUGUAAUCUAUCAUUGCCUUGUCCCGUUUUGGGAAUACACAAAGCUUCUGAUUUUGACACCAAAUCUAUUUCUGUGACCACGCAACUAUCAAAGAAGCUUGACAACACAAAGCCAAUUAAACCCUCAGUUAAUUUCUCUAAAACAUCCAUUCAGCGACCUAUGGAAGACGUGCAUAGUUCAAGAUUGCCAUGUGUCAGAAGUUUGGGAUGGAAUCCAGAGAUAAUGACAUCCUUUAGGGUCCUGUUCUCCACUGAACCUUUCAGAAACUCCUCUAAUGAUAAUAUGUGGACGAAGCGUCUGUUUUCUGAGCCAACAUCCCAUAGUGAAGGUGAUGCUUGAUUUUCAAAGUAUGUGAUGAGUUUAGCUAACAAACAAUGCCUUGGGAAAAAACAAGAAUCAAUUUAACAAUUUGGAGUCUUGCAGUCUUCGAAUGUCUACUACAUUUUUUAAUAUGCAAACUAGUGUUUGCCAUUUUGAAAAGUAAAUCACUAUCCUACAAAACAUUUUAAGUGAGAUUAUUAGACUGUUAAUUAAAUAUGAACCACAUUCCAUUACCUUAGAUUUACAUUUGGCUACCAUGAAACUAAAAUGCACAGUCCUCAGGCUGAUAGUGAAAGAGCUACACUUACAUCAGCUUGGCUGGACAAGGGCCAUUGGUCCAUUAGAGUGCCCCUAAUACAGCGAAAGUUUGCAGAUGUGAGAUUAAAAGAACUUGGUAUCUGGCUUGGAGACCAAAGUCCAAAAUCACCCAGAGAGUUUGGGACUGUGCUGAAGCAAGGUUGGCAGUGGUACUACACAAAGUACAUUGAUAUUCGUAGAGGAGGAAUUGGUGGCAUAUCUCUACUUUUAGCUGGCUACUGUGUCCUGUGUUACAUAUGGAGAUACCCAGAUCUCAAGAAAGAACGUUGGAGAAAAUACCAUUAGGAAUAUUUGGUGUUUGUAGAAUGUAGAGUCCUUUAGAAAUUAGGGUUUAGUUUCUGCUUCACUCCGAAUUUGAAGUUUGCAGCCUUUUUAUUAGACACGUGCAAGAACGUACUGUGACUAAAAAUACUUCUACUAUGAAUUAUUAAGGUUGAUGAGAAAAAAAACCUAUCUGAAAGUAUUUUUUAUGCUCAUUUAUAUGGAAGGAAUUCAUGCAAUAAACCUAAAUGAAAAUUUGUAGAAUUGUUUAUUUUGUAAUUG